rnacentral:rRNA from 1 species
UACGUAGGGGGCAAGCGUUGUCCGGAUUUACUGGGCGUAAAGAGCGUGUAGGCGGCUAGACAAGUCCGUUGUGAAAACUAGAGGCUUAACCUCUAGACGUCGAUGGAAACUGUUUGGCUAGAGUCCGGAAGAGGAGAAUGGAAUUCCUGGUGUAGCGGUGAAAUGCGCAGAUAUCAGGAAGAACACCCGUGGCUAAGGCGGUUCUCUAGUACGGUACUGACGCUGAGACGCGAAAGCGUGGGGAGCGAACAGG